AGAGUUUGAUCAUGGCUCAGGAUGAACGCUGGCGGCGUGCCUAAUACAUGCAAGUCGAACGGAAGCGGCUCAUUCUAACGAAGGAGCCGUGAGAGUGGCAAACGGGUGAGUAACACGUAAGCGACCUGCCCCGGAAUGGGGGAUAACGCCUCGAAAGGGGCGCUAAUACCGCAUACGGUCGUGCGCGUCAGAGGGUGCACGAGGAAAGGCGGCAGCAAUGUCGUCGUUCUGGGAGGGGCCUGCGGCCCAUCAGCUGGUUGGUAGGGUAACGGCCUACCUAGGCGAAGACGGGUAGGGGGCCUGAGAGGGUGGUCCCCCACACUGGCACUAGGACACGGGCCAGACUCCUACGGGAGGCAGCAGUAAGGGAUAUUGCGCAAUGGGCGAAAGCCUGACGCAGCGACGCCGCGUGUGUGACGAAGGCCUUCGGGUCGUAAAGCACUUUUGUGGGCGAAGAAGCCCUUCUUCGAAGGGUGGACGGUAGCCCAGGAAGAAGCGUCGGCGAACUACGUGCCAGCAGCCGCGGUAAAACGUAGGACGCGAGCGUUAUCCGGAGUUACUGGGCGUAAAGCGCGCGCAGGCGGAUCGGCAGGUUGCACGUGAAAGCCGCGGGCUCAACCGGCGGAGGCCGUGCAAUACCACCGGUCUGGGGGGCAGUAGAGGGGCGUGGAAUUCCGGGGGGAGCGGUGAAAUGCGUAGAGAUCCGGAGGAACACCAGAGGCGAAGGCGGCGCCCUGGGCUGACCCCGACGCUGAGCCGCGAAAGCCAGGGGAGCGAACGGGAUUAGACACCCCGGUAGUCCUGGCCGUAAACGAUGAAGACUAGGUAUGGGGCGCGAUAAGCGGUCCGUGCCGGAGCGAACGCGGUAAGUCUUCCGCCUGGGGAGUACGGUCGCAAGGCUAAAACUCAAAGGAAUUGACGGGAGCCCGCACAAGCAGCGGAGCGUGUGGUUUAAUUCGAAGGCU
rnacentral:rRNA from 1 species